UUAUUUUAUCAAAUUACAUGCACAGAUAUCUUGGUACUUAAGUAGUCAUUUUAUUAGAGGGAAAACGUAUUGACAACACCUAUCCUGGACAUAGUACGUGGCUAUUUUGAAAAAAGGUACACCAAACAAACUUUUUUUUUUGAUAUACAAAAAGGAUUAGUAUUUAGUUCAUCUAUUGCCUUUAGUAACUUCCACGACUAGAGAUCUAAUCUCCAAAAUCCAUCACCCUCAAUAUAUACAACAAUUGAAGCAAAAGAGUGAUAUGAACCAAAAAGAUUAGGUGCUUACCAUUUGCAUGCUCGAAGUAGAAUUGUAAAUUUGGGACUAACACCUAGAGGUUGAAAGAAUUUCUUCAUGUUGACUCGGAUUCAAGGGCAGACAUCUAAUGGCAGGGUUGACUCAUUAUAAUCACUCGACAUAAUUAAUCAAGGAUUAGCGUACCCAGUUCGUUGUUGAAUUCGGGUUUUUUUUUCCGAAGGGAAGUAAAGUGGAAGAAGAUCAUUUCUUGAUAUAUAAGACCUUGGGGAGCCCGAGGCGUAGAUUUGGAUUAACGUUAGAUUGGCUAGCUUGGAGUGCGUACAAGGUACAGACGCACAGUUUGGUGAUCCACCAAUUUAGGACACCCCCUUCUGCUGUUUGGAGUGCUCUUAUUCCGGAGCCUACAUUUUGGUAUAUAUACUUGUUUGAUGCAUAUGUAUAUAUUUAUUCAGGGGUACGGCGGGGCCCUGUUCCGCCAUAUGAUCCGUUUGGUCUGUUUAGAGGUCUGUAGACGUAUUUGUGGGUGUGUGUGCCUACUUCUGUACAGAUGUGUUUGUAUGACCCUAUUCGUUAUGGCAGCCUUGUCGGCGUGCACUUUGUAUAUGUUUUGGGCCGUUGCGCCAUCUGUUAGCCUUGUCGGCUUUUGAUACA